UCUAUAAACCCCAAAAAAUGGGGCUCAAACAAACUCAUAUAUAUCAUGGAAACUAAUUCAACCUACUACAAAAAGUUGGGCGAUGCGAGUUGCUGUGCUUUUUCCCUAGCAUCUUUACUACUAUUUAAUUUGAAAUAAGAAAUGUUUUUGAUUGCUUUUCUUCGGAUCUUGACCUUUAUUGAGUUCUUGAUUUGUUUUCAAUUGCGCUUCCAUAACAAUUAACUUCAUUUGCGUUAUAUCUUGCAUCAAAUCUUAUGUGAUGCUACAAGUUUAGACAGGUUCAAUGUGGUCGUUUAGCACAAUGAUUUACUGUUAUAAAUGAUACAGUUAUAACACAUUUUGUGGUUAUCCUCCCGAUAUAGUGAAGAAACUGCCGAAGAAAGAUCUCGCUGAGGAGGUUUGGAAACUUCAAGCUGCUCUCGGUGAGCAAAUGGAAAUUACUAAAUUCAACCAACAGGAGUAUGAAAGACUACAACAUGAAAAAGUUCUAUGUAGAUUAUGUUUCGAGGGAGAGAUUAGCCUAGUUCUUCUUCCAUGUAGGCACCGCAUUCUGUGCAGUAACUGCUCUGAUAAAUGUAAGAAAUGUCCGAUUUGUCGUGUCUCCAUCGAGGAAUGCUUAUCUGUAUAUGAUGUAUAGACAGACUUGUGUAAUGUAUUUGACUCACUUUGCUUUGAUAGUACUAACAUAAGCUAAUUUUCUUUCCUUCGCUAAAUAUAUGAGGAAGAAAGCCUUUACUAUAAUUUCUUUGGUUCCAGUGUUGGUAUUUCUGGUACAAAGGCAAAAUGAUAUCUGAUGUUGAGAGCCUAAGAGGUGUUUUAAAAUGGUCCUUAUUAUGGCUCUUGCUCUGUUGUAAUUUCUAGACGAGGUUGGCAAUUGAAAUUCUUGAAAAUGUGUACACUUGGAACUUCAUUGAUGCUGACUGGUCCAAGUCCAUCUCUUUCAAAUUUGCUGUUGCUAUUUCGACUGCUGCUUCAAGCUACAUUGAAACUCUCUUUUACAGACUUAGCUGCU